rnacentral:rRNA from 1 species
AUUGAACGCUGGCGGCAUGCCUUACACAUGCAAGUCGAACGGUAACAGGUCUUCGGAUGCUGACGAGUGGCGAACGGGUGAGUAAUACAUCGGAACGUGCCUAGUAGUGGGGGAUAACUACUCGAAAGAGUGGCUAAUACCGCAUGAGAUCUACGGAUGAAAGCAGGGGAUCGCAAGACCUUGUGCUACUAGAGCGGCCGAUGGCAGAUUAGGUAGUUGGUGGGAUAAAAGCUUACCAAGCCGACGAUCUGUAGCUGGUCUGAGAGGACGAUCAGCCACACUGGGACUGAGAAACGGCCCAGACUCCUACGGGAGGCAGCAGUGGGGAAUUUUGGACAAUGGGCGCAAGCCUGAUCCAGCAAUGCCGCGUGCAGGAUGAAGGCCUUCGGGUUGUAAACUGCUUUUGUACGGAACGAAAAGCCCCGGGUUAAUACCCUGGGGUCAUGACGGUACCGUAAGAAUAAGCACCGGCUAACUACGUGCCAGCCGCCGCGGUAAGAC